GCCAGCAUGGUAUAGUGGUUUGUGCACUGGACUACGAUUCUGGAGUCUAGGGUUCAAAUCCCUGCUUAGCCA
rnacentral:tRNA from 1 species